rnacentral:rRNA from 1 species
ACUCCUACGGGAGGCAGCAGUGGGGAAUAUUGCACAAUGGGCGCAAGCCUGAUGCAGCAACGCCGUGUGAGUGAAGAAGGUUUUCGGAUCGUAAAACUCUGUCCUAAGGGAAGAAACAAAUGACGGUACCUUAGGAGGAAGCCCCGGCUAACUACGUGCCAGCAGCCGCGGUAAUACGUAGGGGCAAGCGUUAUCCGGAAUCACUGGGCGUAAAGGGUGCGUAGGCGGCUUAGCAAGCCAGGGGUGAAAGGCAUUGGCUCAACCAAUGUAAGCCUUUGGAACUGUUAAGCUUGAGUGCAGGAGAGGUAAGUGGAAUUCCUAGUGUAGAGGUGAAAUUCGUAGAUAUUAGGAGGAACACCAGUGGCGAAGGCGACUUACUGGACUGUAACUGACGCUGAUGCACGAAAGCGUGGGUAGCGAACAGGAUUAGAUACCCUGGUAGACUGUCA